UGCAUCGAUGAAGAACGCAGCCAGUUGCGCUAAGUAGUGUGAAUUGCAGAAUUCAGUGAAUCAUCGAAUCUUUGAAUGCAAAUUCUGGAUCUCUGGAUAUCCAGGAAGCAUGCCUGUCUGAGCGUCGUAUACAAAUCUACACACCUUGGUGUGGGUAGGGAAUUCAGGUGACUUUACCAGUCGCCUGUCUUUCCAUGUGUCUGAACCCAGUCGUGCUGCUCUUUUGCACUGCUUGGAAGGCUCAACUUGCUUCUGUCCUUCUACAGUAGAGUUUGACAGCACUUCUGCUUGUUCUUUUUCGGUUCUAACCGAAAACUUCUUAUCUCUGACCUCAGAUCAGACAAGACUACCCGCUGAAUUUAAGCAUAUCAAUAAGCGGAGGA
rnacentral:rRNA from 1 species